CAGGAUACCCUUUGACCCUCCUUAGUUCAACCGAAUGAACUAAAAUCUUAAAAUGACACAACUUUUUAAAAAACUAGUUCAUUUGUUUGAACUAAAGAGCGUCAAAGGGUACCCUG
rfam:Brachypodium distachyon strain Bd21 chromosome 4, whole genome shotgun sequence.